UACAGAGGUCUCAAGCGUUGUUCGGAUUCAUUGGGCGUAAAGGGUGCGUAGGUGGCGCCGUAAGUCGGGUGUGAAAUUUCGGAGCUUAACUCCGAAACUGCAUUCGAUACUGCGGUGCUUGAGGACUGGAGAGGAGACUGGAAUUCAUGGUGUAGCAGUGAAAUGCGCAGAUAUCAGGAAGAACACCAAUGGCGAAAGCAGCUUUCUGGGACGGUACUGACGCUGAGGAGCGAAAGCGUGGGGAGCGAACAGG
rnacentral:rRNA from 1 species